GUUUCCCCGAAAAUAAGACAGGGUCUUAUAUUAAUUUUUGCUCCCAAAGAUGCACUAGGUCUUAUUUUCAGGGGAUGUCUUAUUUUUCCAUGAAGAAGAGCUCACAUUUAUUGUUGAACAACAAAAUGAACAUUUAUUAUAUACUGUAAAGUAGUUGUCAUCACAAACCAGCAUAACCAGACAAACUGUUAAUCCUAUCAAGAAUGUCUUGUUACUACCAUUAUUUACAUGUGCAACAAUCUAUGGUACCUCUUGCAGUUUAGGUUUCACAAGGUUUCCACGCUGAUUUCUCUCUAUUCUAGUUUCAAUGUAGUCAUGAAUGAUGAAUAAUAUAAUAUACUAUAAUAAUAAUAUGAUAAUAUAAUAAUAAUAUAAUGAUAUACAAUAUAUUAAUUAGAUAAUAUAAUAAUAGGAUAAUAUAAUAGAAUAAUAGAAUGGAAUAGAAUGAUAUAAAAUAUAUUAAUAGGAUAAUAUAAAAUGGAAUAUAAUAAUAAUAAAAGAAUAUGCUAAUAAUGAUAAAAUAAUAAUAUGAUAAUAUAAUUGAAUAAUAGUAUAGAAUAUAAUGAUAUAAAAUAUAUUAAUAGGACAAUAUAAAAUGGAAUAUAAUAAUAACAGAAUAAUAAUAUGAAAAUAUAAUAGAAUAAUAAUAGAAUAAUAAUAUAAUGAUAUAAUAAUAAUAAUAAUAGAAAAAUAUAAUAUAAUGAUAUAAAAUAUAUUAAUAGGAUAAUAUAAUAAUGGGAUAUAAUAAUAGUAACAGAAUAUGAUGAUAAUAAUAUGGCAAUAGAAUAAUAGUAUAAAAUAAUGUUUCAGGGCAUAGGAUAGGAAUAAGGAUGAGAGGAGAAUCCCAAUGCGUCCUGUACCUUUAAGAAACUGAAAGAGCAGUACGAGUGGAAAGCCCUCUUCCUUCCCUCCCUCCUUCCCUUGCCCUGGCUCCAGGAGCCAAUCAGAAGCCUUGGGGGCGAAGCAAGCAUGGCCAGGAAGCAUGGCCUUGUCUCCGGAGGAAGAAACGGCAGCGCAGCAGCAGCCACGGAGGCUGGGGACAGGCAAGGCAAGGCAAGGCCAGCAAGCACUUUCUCUCCCUCCCUCCCUCCCUCCCUCCGGUGUGUAUGAGGAGUGCUGCUUUAGCCCUGCAGCCAUGCUUCCCAAUGGAACUCUGCUGCAGCCUUAGUUGCUAGGUCUUACUUUCAGGGGAGGCCUUAUAUUUGGCAAUCCCCCCAAACCCCUGCUAGGUCUUAUUCUUUGGGGAGGUCUUAUUUUCGGGGAAACACGGUAGCUCCAUCUUCCAAAAUCCUAGAACCUUUUGAGGUAACGCAAAUGUAACAAGUUAAAUCUUGUUUUUUUUAUUUUUACACCUCUGCAAUGAUUCAACUUUGAAGAAAAUGAUGCUAUUGUCAAGAGACACAGCAGGAGCUCUCUCACCCUAAGAAGGCAAUGCCUCCUCUGCAUACGUUUUGCCAAGAAGACCCCCCCCCCCCAACAAGAUUGCCAUAAAUCAAGGUCAACUUAAGAAGUGUGAUGACAGCUGAACCAAGGUGUAUACUUUCUCCCUGCUCUCACUUUGCACAAGUGAACACCCAAACUGAGAAAUUGCACCGUGUAUGGUUAUUUGAGCAUUGAGUCUCCUUUGCUACAAGAAUUUUAAGCAGUUUUGGAAUUCAACAUCCAGACUGAGGGAGAAGUGUAAGCUCUCCUAGCAGACAAAGAAUACAGAAAAGAAAACAGUUUCUUGGCAUUGUGAGGAUCAAGUGAUGAAUGCGUAUGUGUAGAGGACUCCUCUGACCUUUUGACCCCGGAGCCAUCUCAUUGCCAGAGCCAACCUGGUUUGUGGUGCCACAUGAAAGGAAGACGCAAGGCAGCAACAUUUUUAUCAAGUCUUCUUGCCAUGAUUUCAUCCGUCUCCUUGUACAUCACUUACAACUGCGUCAUUCCACACUGCAAAACUGUGCUUUAAAAAUUCAUUACUUUCAGAAAGACACAAGGCUUACUUGAAAACUUUCCUACAUCAGGAAGAUACAUGGAGCAAUUUUGUCCUGGUGUUCCUGAACUGAAGGGCCAAAGACCGAGGAACAGUUGUUGGCCAGGGGACCAAGGCCCUCCAUGAGACUACACCCUCUAACUGCCCCCAGGAAAGUUACCAUGGCAAAGACGAGAUCAUUUUUUGAACCCAAGACUGUAUAGCUGUGAUGCUGUGAAUGAGAGAAUGUCUAGACCAGUGGUUCCCAGCCUCUGAUCUUCCGGGUAGUUUGGACUUCAGCUCCAAAGUGUGCACAUUGCUCUUCUUUUGGUUAUUUCCCCUCACAUUCAGAGGUUGGAUUUAUUUAGGGCCAAUGGUGUAUACACCAUCAGAAACAGUUAAUCGUCUGUUCCUGGAAGAUUUGAAGGAUGGGGUGAAGGUAGACUGUUUUUUGGGGGCAAUACCAAAAGUCAGUGCACAUCUUGGCAUCAUUUGGGUGAAAGUUCUUUGGGUUCUGGGGCCUGGGAACUGAGAACGAGUCUGCCCUUGGGGCUGACAUGGGACCUUGCUCUCCCUUUUUGAGUUCUGGAGCUUGCAAGAUUGGAGGGGGGGGGGCUCUAAGUAUGCCUUUUUAUAUUUAUUUAUUUAUUUUUAUUUUUUAUCUUAUCUUUAAGUAUGCCUUAAGACAACCAUCUUGGGGGUGAGAAACCCUUAGAUUGUAUGGCCCUCAGGAUUAGGUGUUUUCACCCAAGGGCAGACUGAGAGGUUUGUCACAAGUAAACACCUGCCCCAGCUAAGAUCUGCACCAGGUUGCUUCCCCCACCUGCCCAAAGCAGGUUUUCCAGGUUUAAAUCUUAAUUACCUAAUAGGACAAAUAAAUUGGUCCUUAUUUCAUCCAGUUUUGUCUGUCUACUUUCAUUAUUUCAGAGGUGGUCAUCACUGUCUUUAUCAGAGGUGGACUCGCACUUGCCUAAAGAACACAAAGCUACAUCCGCCAGUUAUAUUAGGAGUAGAGAGUUGAAAAGAAGCACAAUCUGGUCCCAUCCAAAUAGCAUUGGUAAUUUCUGUACUAUACCAGUGGGCUGUAUUUGUUAAACUGCCUUUCCCUAAUCUAAGGAGGCAAGUUCAGCACAGGCAUUUCCUAAUUCAAUUUUCUGCAAGACAGAGUUUCAACUGAUGAAAGCUUUUAGAUAUGCAGAGUAACAGGGUUUCUGCCAGGCCCAUGGACAGGUAGUCAUGGGGAAACCAACCAAAAAACCUACUCAUUAAAAAAAAAGAAAAAAAGUCAGACAAAGGUGAGAUGCUCUCUUCUCAGAAGAAUGUUUUCAGUAGAUUUUUGCAUUGCUGGCCCAGAACUGGGCCAGAUGCCCUUGAAGUAUCUUCCCUCUCUCUGUUUCUAGGUGCUGGAGCAAGAAACCUCUAUUGCAAUCACUUGUGCUACUUUCAACUAUACAAUAAGGCAGUGCAGGAAGAGUGCUGAAAUCCAGUGCAUUACACUGUCUGAGUUUAAAACUAAUAAGGUGAUCUUUUACAGCAGGCCUACCCAGAUGAUUUUUAAAAUAUGAAUUGUUUUUUUAAUAUACACUGGUUUUACAUUAGUUUUUUUUACUGAUGUUAUGUAUCAAAUUUGCUGUUGUUCCCCAACUUGAUCCAUGUGGUGUACAUAAUAUCAUCAUCAUCAUCAUCAUCAUCAUCAUCAUCAUUGUACUUCGCAAAACUGUCAUUAUUUCAAACUCAUUCUCCUCAUUACUCCAAUGACAUUUAAAUAGCAUGAUUUCAUGUUGAGGCUAAUGUGUUAUCGCCUAUCUCAACAGUUUUAUUGUUAAGCUUAACUUAACCUUGUUAUCUUGAUAAGAGGCUGAAACCCUAAACACACAAAGCAAUGACAAUCAAAACAAGUGAAUAACCUUGAUAGCUGACCUUUUCAGAGUCACUCUUCUAAUGCUAAAAAGCCCUAUAUUUGUACACAAAUAAAUCUACUGUGUGCAGUUUGCAAAGGUUCUUCAAAGUACCAUAGGAACAAGAUGUCUUGUUUUGCUUACCAGCACACAAGGUGGUUUUGCAACCACAGCACCAAAUUGUUUCAAUAAAGGAAAAGAUUCCAUGUGGUACAAUCACUUGUUUAGCCUGAUAUCUGUCAUUCUUAGCCCUGACGGGUGUGCAAAAGCUGCAACUAAAAAUCUCAAAAUUUUUCAAAAGCAAUAGCUGUAAGAGUCUUCUGUAACAAAGGUUUUUUACGGCAUAAACUUUCUUGGCUUACAACCCACUUCAUCCGAUGGGCAGAGAGUAAUGUUAGAAGGUACAGUAGAGUCUCGCUUAUCCAACCUUCACUUAUCCAACAUUCUGUAUUAUCCAACACAGUCUGCCUCCCACCCGGAUCCACAGCUGUUUCUCUAGGCAGCAACGCGCAAUGGGCCAACACACCCAACAACAACACAAGUGCAGCCACACUCUCAAAUAAAUGGCAGACUUGUUGUAAAACAUGAUGUUUUCAUAGAAUCAUAGAAUCGUAGAGUUGGAAGAGAACUAGAGUUGGAAGACGAUGUAGAGUCGUGGAGUUGGGCCAUCCAGUCCAACCCCCUGCAAGAAGCAGGAAAAUCUCAUUCAAAAUCACAUUUUGGUGCUUAAUUUGUAAAAUCAUAACAUAAUUAGACGUUUAAUAGGCUUAUCCUUAGUCCCUCCUUAUUAUCCAACAUUUUCGUUUAUCCAACAUUCUGCCGGCCCGUUUAUGUUGGAUAAGAGUGACUCUAUUAUAUAGAUAAACAGUUUACAUAGCUUAGGCAUGAAUUAGAUUAGCAUUACCAUUUCCCAUGUUUAUUGUGCUUGAAUUAUUGGAAUGGCCAGGAUAACACUUAUGGAUAAUGUGAUUAAUUGUGAAGGUAUUGUUUUAAAUGUUUUUAAUUGUUGUAAUGUAUUCUAUAAUUCUAUUUUAAAUGUUCAUUUUAGUUGCACAUUAUUUUUAAGGCAUCAAAUAGUUGCCUAUGUGUAAAGCUGCCUUGAGUCCCCUCCAGGGUUGAAAAAGGUGGGGGAGAAAUGUCGUAAAUAAAUAAAUAAAUUAAAUUAAAUUUGAUGUCUCUCUUUUAUCUGCUGCAGCUAUCUCUGUAUUUGCAAUAUUGCAUAUUAUUUGUUUUUCUCUUUGGACUUUAUUGUAUAUUUUAUAGUUGUUUGACUCUUUAUAGCCACAUAUGAGCUGUACAAUCACCAGAACACACAGAAUACAGUGAGAUUCUUUAAAAUACAAUAAAACUAUAUAACAAUUAUGA